GACGAACGCUGGCGGCGUGCCUAAUACAUGCAAGUUGAGCGAUGAAGAUUGGUGCUUGCACCAAUUUGAAGAGCAGCGGACGGGUGAGUAACGCGUGGGGAAUCUGCCUUUGAGCGGGGGACAACAUUUGGAAACGAAUGCUAAUACCGCAUAACAACUUUAAACAUAAGUUUUAAGUUUGAAAGAUGCAAUUGCAUCACUCAAAGAUGAUCCCGCGUUGUAUUAGCUAGUUGGUGAGGUAAAGGCUCACCAAGGCGAUGAUACAUAGCCGACCGGAGAGGGAGCUCGGCCACAGUGGGACUGAGACACGGCCCAAGCUCCUACGGGAGGCAGCAGUAGGGAAUCUUAGGCAAUGGACGAAAGUCUGACCGAGAAACGCCGCGGGAGUGAAGAAGGGUGUCGGAUCGUAAAACUCUGUUGGUAGAGAAGAACGUUGGUGAGAGUGGAAAGCUCAUCAAGUGACGGUAACUACCCAGAAAGGGACGGCUAACUACGUG
rnacentral:rRNA from 1 species